AUUGAACGCUGGCGGCAGGCCUAACACAUGCAAGUCGAGCGGAUGAAGGGAGCUUGCUCCUGGAUUCAGCGGCGGACGGGUGAGUAAUGCCUAGGAAUCUGCCUGGUAGUGGGGGAUAACGUCCGGAAACGGGCGCUAAUACCGCAUACGUCCUGAGGGAGAAAGUGGGGGAUCUUCGGACCUCACGCUAUCAGAUGAGCCUACGUCGGAUUAGCUAGUUGGUGGGGUAAAGGCCUACCAAGGCGACGAUCCGUAACUGGUCUGAGAGGAUGAUCAGUCACACUGGAACGGAGAGACAGCCCAGACUCCUACGGGAGGCAACAGUGGGGAAUAUUGGACAAUUGGCGAAAGCCUGAUCCAGCCAUGCCGCGUGUGUGAAGAAGGUCUUCGGAUUGUAAAACACUUUAAGUUGGUAGGAAGGGCAGUAAGUUAAUACCUUGCUGUUUUGACGUUACCAACAGAAUAAGCACCGGCUAACUUCGUG
rnacentral:rRNA from 1 species